AAGACAGCUUAUCUGUGUUUCAUUUUCCACUUGAUGCCAAUUGGGGCAGCAAUAAGUUGGAAGCUGGAAUCAUCUAAAGGCCCACUCACUCCUUUACAUGUCUGGUGACUGUUGCUGAGUCUGUGGCCAGAACACCUACUCACGGCCUUUCCACAGUGCUGUUUGAUUUCUCACAACAUAGUAGCUGGAUUCCAAGGGCAAGCAUCCCAAGAGAGAGAGAAAUCCAGCCUGGGAAAAGAUUCAUGAAAUGAUAAAGCCUUUUUACAGAUUUGUCCACAUGCUUAAAUGCAUGUUUUCUGGCUCCAUGGUCCAUUUACUGGAGGAAGUGAAGGUGACCAGACAGUAUGGAUUUUUCCCCUGCACACCAUUUCCCACCUGGAUUCACAGCUUAACCUCUUCAGUGAGCUUGGACUUUCACUAAAGGCAAGACAAGAGGUAAUCGUUAAGCUUCAGGCCUGGUAUUAUAAACCAUUCCUGAGAUCAGCAAGCACUAGGAACUGGCAACCAUCAGCAGAAGGUGGGGGAAGGAGGGAAAAUAGCAGCAAAAACAAAGUACCCUCUAAUGUCUCAACAAAUUAUUGUCCAUAGAAGCUGAACCCAAGACAAUUCUUUUCCUGGUAAUCUCACUAUAGAAACCACAGGUAUUCUUUAUGCCUCCAAACACCUUUAAACUGCAUUCAAAACUAGGGUUGUGAGUCUGGAAGUCUUUCUUUGCUAAUUUGUUGUACUUGAAUGCCUGCAGAAGCCUUUGAAUGGUAAAUGCUGUGGGAGGGGCAGUUUCCAUGGUAACUUUUCAGUGCACCUUUUUUCUUGCACUUCAAUUAGAUCUUCAUUGCUGAGUGGUUGUGAAUGAGAAGGUAACAGCUCCGUCACAUCUGGAGGGCUGGAGGAAAUAUGAGAUUUGCAGCCUUUCUAGAUGCAGCUAUAUUCUCAGUCUACUGAGUUGUAGUAUGCUUGUUUUGCUCCAUCUCUUCAUGGUGCCCCAGCACUGCAAUGCAACACAUGUGACAGAGAACCAAUUUUCUUAAUAUACCACGCUUACAAGUUAAUAUGAACAAUAUCAAAACACGAUGGAAAAAAUGAGCAAAGGGCAUAGACAGGCAGCUUACAGAAGAAGAAAAUCAAUGGCUUACAUUGUAUGAAAAUGUGUUUAAUCUCAUUCACAAUGACGGAAAUACAUAUUUAAGUAAGAUUACAUUUUUCACCUACCAGACUGGAAAAGAUCUAAAAGUUUGAUAAUGUACUGUGUUCAGAGAAUGUGGAAAACCCAUCAUUUUAUAUACUGUUCUGUGGGAGGGUAAAUUGGUUUAAUCUCUUUGGAGAGUGAUUUUGCAGUUCUCUUCUAGAAAUUCAUCCUACAAGUGUAAUUACAUUUGACUUAAAAAUACAGGUAAAAGGAUAUUUGUUGAAGCCUUGUUGAAGCAAAUAACUGGGACGGAUUAAAUGAGUUGAUGUAUCUAGACAGUUACACACACUGGACAAUGAGAGACAAAAAUA